UGGGGAAUAUUGCGCAAUGGGGGGAACCCUGACGCAGCCAUGCCGCGUGAAUGAAGAAGGCCUUCGGGUUGUAAAGUUCUUUCGGUAUUGAGGAAGGUUGAUGUGUUAAUAGCACAUCAAACUGACGUUAAAUACAGAAGAAGCACCGGCUAACUCCGUGCCAGCAGCCGCGGUAAUACGGAGGGUGCGAGCGUUAAUCGGAAUAACUGGGCGUAAAGGGCACGCAGGCGGUUAUUUAAGUGAGGUGUGAAAGCCCCGGGCUUAACCUGGGAAUUGCAUUUCAGACUGGGUAACUAGAGUACUUUAGGGAGGGGUAGAAUUCCACGUGUAGCGGUGAAAUGCGUAGAGAUGUGGAGGAAUACCGAAGGCGAAGGCAGCCCCUUGGGAAUGUACUGACGCUCAUGUGCGAAAGCGUGGGGAGCAAACAGGAUUAGAUACCCUGGUAGUCCACGCUGUAAACGCUGUCGAUUUGGGGGUUGGGGUUUAACUCUGGCGCCCGUAGCUAACGUGAUAAAUCGACCGCCUGGGGAGUACGGCCGCAGGGUUA
rnacentral:rRNA from 1 species